GACGAACGCUGGCGGCGUGCUUAACACAUGCAAGUCGAACGGAAAGGCCCUGCUUUUGUGGGGUGCUCGAGUGGCGAACGGGUGAGUAACACGUGAGUAACCUGCCCUUGACUUUGGGAUAACUUCAGGAAACUGGGGCUAAUACCGGAUAGGAGCUCCUGCUGCAUGGUGGGGGUUGGAAAGUUUCGGCGGUUGGGGAUGGACUCGCGGCUUAUCAGCUUGUUGGUGGGGUAGUGGCUUACCAAGGCUUUGACGGGUAGCCGGCCUGAGAGGGUGACCGGCCACAUUGGGACUGAGAUACGGCCCAGACUCCUACGGGAGGCAGCAGUGGGGAAUAUUGCACAAUGGGCCGAAGCCUGAUGCAGCAACCCCGCGUGCGGGAUGACGGCCUUCGGGUUGUAAACCGCUUUCGCCUGUGACGAAGCGUGAGUGACGGUAAUGGGUAAAGAAGCACCGGCUAACUACGUG
rnacentral:rRNA from 1 species